CGAAGACUCAGACAACACAACAAACACCACCACAGAUCUCGGAGCUGUAGUGUAGCUCUUUUCAGUUCAUCACUGUGGAAAUGAAGAAAUGGCAGAACAUCUGCGGAGCAUCACUAACUACAGGAAUCACAAAAUGACCAGCAAAGAGGACGAGAGACAAUCUACUGAACCAGGAGAGAUACAACCAACAAGACGAGUUAAACGGGGCAGCAUUAAAUAUAGACCUUUGUCGUGAUUUAGACAGACCUGCAGAGAUUCAUUCUGAUGAUGCAAAGACAGACAUGCACAGAUGAGAAAGUAGUUCCAGUUUUAUUUCCUCUGAUGUCAGUCACUGAAGCAACGACAGAGGUGGAAAGUGGUUUGUUCAUCACAGCGUUCAUUUCUUCAGCAGACCUGGAGCAGCAUUUAUGAGAACUGAAGAGUGUGUGAAGAUUCACUCAAACACCAAAUUACAGCCUCUUCUUCUAAACUGUGUGUUUGUGCGUUUACGUAGGAGUUACUGAAUGAAUGGAGGCAUCAGAUACACAAACCCCGCCCACUAUUACCAGAAGCCACACCUACUCAUCAUCAUUAGUGCAUCACCGCCACCUACUGUUAAACACACUCACAACCAUUAUCUUUAUAUAACUGCCACUUUAUGAUUAAUAACCCAAUUUUUAUAAUUUUCUAAUCUUUGCAGAUUUCCUUUUGUUCUGUCUGUAUAACAAUAUAAGCUUAUACACAUUUACACAUAAAACAAACUGUAUUUUAUUCCUCUUUAUAAUCCUCUUCAUUAGCUUUCUGCAUUUUUGAUACUAAAUUUAAAGUGAGCUCUUGUGUCUGCUGUAACUCAAUGCCAUUCAAAUACAGACCCACAAAUUUCUUUUUAUUAAAAAUAAUUAGUGUUAAAUAGUGCUACAAAUAAUAAUAUUGCAUUGUUAGAGUAGAUACAGUAGUUUUAGGUCUGUAACUCAUGACUAUAGAAUAUCAGCUCCAUGAAAUAAAAUUUGAGCAUUAUAAUUGUAUUAAAAACAUGAAUAUAUUAAAUAUUCUUUGUUUUUUACACAGAAGAUUAGCAGUUGUUUCCAUCUUUGUCCACUAGAUGACACAACUAGAUUUUCAAACUCAAAUGCCUUUAGUCUCGGGUUAAAGUUUUUCAUCCUUAAUAUCUAUAAAUCUGUAAGUGCUUUUCUAGAAACUAUUUUACCAAAAGCAGCACACAAUGGAUCACCUGCAAAAGCCUCAAACUUGCUCCUUGUUUAUUGUUUAAAAGUAUUUAGAAGUAUAAACACU